UCGGGAAUAUUGCGCAAUGGAGGAAACUCUGACGCAGUGACGCCGCGUGCAGGAAGAAGGUUUUCGGAUUGUAAACUGCUUUAGACAGGGAAGAAAAAAUGACAGUACCUGUAGAAUAAGCUCCGGCUAACUACGUGCCAGCAGCCGCGGUAAUACGUAGGGAGCAAGCGUUAUCCGGAUUUAUUGGGUGUAAAGGGUGCGUAGACGGGAAGACAAGUUGGUUGUGAAAUCCCUCGGCUUAACUGAGGACUGCAACCAAAACUAUCUUUCUUGAGUGCUGGAGAGGAAAGUGGAAUUCCUAGUGUAGCGGUGAAAUGCGUAGAUAUUAGGAGGAACACCAGUGGCGAAGGCGACUUUCUGGACAGUAACUGACGUUGAGGCACGAAAGUGUGGGGAGCAAACAGGAUUAGAUACC
rnacentral:rRNA from 1 species